UGGGUUUUGGGGGGUUUUGGGGCGGGAGGAGCACAAUUGGGUGGUUUUGGGCUGGAAAGGAGUGAAUUUGGGUUGGUUUUGGGUAGAGAAAAGCACAUUUUUGUUAGUUUUGGGUAGAGAAAAGCACAUUUUGGUUGGUUUUGGGUGCAAUAAUCGCUGUUUUGUUGUUUUUGGGGUAGAGAUGAGCAUAUUUGGGUUGGUUUUGGGUAGAGAAAAGCACAUUUUUUUUAGUUUUGGGUAGAGAAGAGCACAUUUGGGUUAGUUUUGGGUAGAGAAGAGCACAUUUUGGGUUUUUUGGUGCGAUAACUGCCGUUGGGUCAUUUUUGGGGUGG
rnacentral:lncRNA from 1 species